UAUUUCAAAUCAAUCAAUGAUUUGAAAUCUGCUGUUGAUCAAAAAGUCCUUAUUCGAGAGAUUGUCUUAAAUAGGAGACGUAGACGGAAAUUUGCACUUUUAUAUACUUUUGGUGGUCGCGCAAAAAGAGCGUUUAUCCUUCCAGAUUCUUUUUCUUACCCACUUGUCACUGUUUUCUGCUAAUUCCCAAUCGUGUUGUUGGUUAAGGGUAAGUUCAAUUUUGCAAUGUGUGCGUACAUAAAAAAAUAUUACACACUAGUAGAAUUAACCUUAGUUUAGCGUUUGUCUUAUUGACAUAAUAGUCU